CAUGAUUAAUCUCCCCUCCCCCACCGCGCCCCGCUCCUCCCACCGCCGCGAUCUGCCUCGCCGUCCCACCCCGCCCCCUUCUCCUUUCCCCGUUUCAACACCAGACUCUCCCUCCCUCGCUUCAAUUCGCCGCAGUCCGGCCCCCCUUCCUGCACACACUUGCGUGUUAUUUUUCAAAUCUUUAAACCUGAAACCCUACUCAUUGCUCUCUCUCCCACCGCCAGCUCCUUCUCUCAACUGCCGCCCCAAACGACCGUGUCUUCAUGGACGGGCUCAUUCAUCACCCGAAGUCUAGCCAUCAGAGACAGCUGACGGCGACGCUCGGCUGCCCACGCCCUAAUUUCGUCCCCAAAUCCAUCCUCACCCCCGUCGCCGAUGGCCCGUUCCAAGCCCCAGGCUGCCCAACCCCAAUUUCGUUGCACUUCCGUUGAUUCGCCGCCGGUAUUCUCCAUGUUCCGAAAUUCGCCAUCGAGGAAUUCAAAGUGCCACUCAACCAUCUGCUGACGGAUGUUGACGCCGAGAAGUAGCAGCGCCUCUACCUCUCAAGCCUUGGCGGCUAUCCGACGGAUAGUGGGUGGCGAGUAUUCAACGGAUGGCGGGUGGCGGAUACCCGACAGGUGGCGGUUAUCCACGGAUCGCGGGUAUGGGUGGCAAAUAGUAGUGGGUGCAAAAUAAUUUUUUAGAAUAUACGUUUCACUAAGUCAUGUUAAGGAUAAAAGUCCUUUUUAAUUUAUUUUUUCAUUUAAGUUUGAUGUGUAACGUAGAUCUAUAUCAUAUUAGCAGUUUUUUUAGUAAAUAAUCUCCAUAAUUUGUACAUAUAUUAAGAAAUAAUUUUU